UACGUAGGGUGCGAGCGCUAAUCGGAAUUACUGGGCGUAAAGCGUGCGCAGGCGGUUCGUUGUGUCGGCGGUGAAAGCCCCGGGCUCAACCUGGGAAUGGCCGUUGAAACUGGCGAACUGGAGUGUGGCAGAGGGGGGUGGAAUUCCGCGUGUAGCAGUGAAAUGCGUAGAGAUGCGGAGGAACACCGAUGGCGAAGGCAGCCCCCUGGGCUGACACUGACGCUCAGGCACGAAAGCGUGGGGAGCAAACAGG
rnacentral:rRNA from 1 species